CCCCCACAAGAUAAACACCUUGUCGUGGUGUGGGGGCUUAAACUAAAAUCAAUAUGAUUUUAGCAACUAAGUUUAU
rnacentral:ribozyme from 1 species